UACGAAGGGAGCUAGCGUUGUUCGGAAUCACUGGGCGUAAAGCGCACGUAGGCGGAUGUGUCAGUCAGGGGUGAAAUCCCGGGGCUCAACCCCGGAACUGCCUCUGAAACUGCAGUGCUAGAAUCUUGGAGAGGCGAGUGGAAUUCCGAGUGUAGAGGUGAAAUUCGUAGAUAUUCGGAAGAACACCAGUGGCGAAGGCGGUUACC
rnacentral:rRNA from 1 species